rnacentral:rRNA from 1 species
UGAGCAAUCUGCCCUUCUCUUCGGAAUAAGCGUUGGAAACGACGUCUAAUGCCGAAUACGACCUCCUUUCGCAUGAUCGGAGGUGGAAAGCUCCGGCGGAGAAGGAUGAGCUCGCGGCCUAUCAGCUAGUUGGUGUGGGUAAUGGCCCGCCAAGGCGACGACGGGUAGCCGGCCUGAGGAGGGUGACCCGGCCACACGUGGGACUGAGACACGGCCCAGACCUCCGUACGGGAGGCAGCG